CGGGUUUUGGAGGUCCUGAUACCAAACCACACUAUUGGUGGGAGCCAAGUCUUGCUAUAACCUGGUUUCUACACCGUGGCAGAGGCGAACUGUCCAGUUAAAAGUUAUGAGAUGACCUACCAGCUGACUCAGACAGAUACAGACACCCACAGCCAAACAGUGGAUAGAGCUUGGGGAUUCAUAUGGAAGAAGAGGAGAAAGGAUAACGGGUCCCGAAGGGAAUAGGAACUCCACAAGAAGACCAACAAAGUCAACAAAUCUGGACCCUUGGGGCUUUCAGAGUCUGAAACACCAACCAAAGAACGUACAUGGGCUGAACCUAGGCCUCUCCACACAUAUGUAGCAGAUAUGCACCUUGGUCUUCAUGUGAGUCCUGAACAACUGGAAUGGGGGAUAUUCCAAAAGCUGUUGCUUGUACAUGGGAUAUGUUCUUCUAGCUGGGCUGCCUUGUCUGGCCUCAGUGGGAGAGGCAGAGCUAGCCUUGCAGAGACUUAAAGUGCCAGAGUGGGGGGAUAUCCAACCUUCCUAGCUCAGAGGAGAAGGGGAGAGGGGAUAAGGGAAGGAUUGUGGGAGGGGGUGACUGAAAAGGGGGCAAUGAGCAGGAUGCAAAGUGAAUAAGGAAAAAAAUAGGGCUGGAGAGAUGGUGUAAUAUCCAAAAUAAAUUCAAGACUACCCAGUACCUUCCCCUUCAAAACUACUUUCAAAACUGUACUAGCAGGCCAAGUACAGAGCCAGAUAAAAAGAUGGCUGACUAAACAAAUAUAGAAACAUAGUUUUUAACAGUCAAAAACAAGAUUAACAAUCCCCCCUGCCCUGCCUCACUCUAAAAAAAACACAAGGACAGAUGAAAUACAAGUCACCCUAUACAAACCAACCAGUGUCUAAAAAGGUUAUUGGCUACAUCAAUUAAAAUAAGCCAAACUACCCUGGUGCCUAUAUCUGGCCCUUACAAAGGUAUAAAAAGUGUGUUCUUUCUUUGUUCUGGGUCUCUCCUCCAGCCUGCGUGCUGAGAGGGGGUUCCCCAACAUGUUGGAUAAGUAAAUCCUCAUACAUUUUGC
ensembl:lincRNA 1700003I16Rik RIKEN cDNA 1700003I16 gene